AUCGAAAAGGCUUACUAGUAUUUUUUUGCAUGAUGGUCUCGAGCAGUACGGGGCGAUAAUCCGAGGUGGUCUUUGUAAGAGAUCUCAACAUAUGAGAUGGGAAGGCUGCUACCCACUUCAUCGAGACUAAGCAUCUAUCCAACUUAACUAGGAUAGGAUUUUCUCUAUGAUUAGACCAGGUAAAUGAGAACUAAUUAAGCUUUAUAUCCAUAAGCUAUAGAUCAUCGAUAAGGUCAUUUAGUUCUGCAGACGGUAUGCUACUUUCUGCCAAGUCUUUUCUUUCAGAACAAAAAUGGGUUAGAUUGAAGUCUCCUAUGAUAACCCAC
rnacentral:lncRNA from 1 species